rnacentral:rRNA from 1 species
AAAGCUCAAAUUUAAAAUCUGGCAGUCUUUGGCUGUCCGAGUUGUAAUCUAGAGAAGUGCUAUCCGCGCUGGACCGUGUAUAAGUCUCCUGGAACGGAGCGUCGUAGAGGGUGAGAAUCCCGUCUUUGACACGGACUACCAGGGCUUUGUGAUGCGCUCUCAAAGAGUCGAGUUGUUUGGGAAUGCAGCUCUAAAUGGGUGGUAAAUUCCAUCUAAAGCUAAAUAUUGGCGAGAGACCGAUAGCGAA